rnacentral:tRNA from 1 species
ACUUUUAAAGGAUAAGAGUAAUCCAUUGGCCCUAGGCCCCAGACAUCCUUGGUGCAAGUCCAUGUAAAAGUU